rnacentral:lncRNA from 1 species
AUAGUGCGCAUGAAUGUCCUGGCUGAUGUGCUCAAGAGCAUCAACAAUGCCAGAAAGAGAGGCAAACGGCAGGUCCUUAUUAGGCUGUGCUCCAAAGUCAUCGUCUGGUUUCUAAUUGUGAUGCUGAAGUAUGGUAAAUUGGCGAUUUUGAAAUAAUUGAUGAUCACAGCUAGGAAAAUUGCUGUGAACCUCACAGGCAGGCUAAACAAGUGUAGAGUGAUCAGCCCCAGAUUUGAUGUGCAAAUCAGAGAUCUAGAAAAAUGGCAGAUGGCAGAAUAAUCUGCUCCCAUCCUGCCAGUUUGGUUUUAUUGUACUGACAACCUCAGUUGGCAUCAUGGACCAUGAAGAAGCAAGACAGCAACAUAUAGGAGGGAAAAUCCUGGGAUUCUUUUUCUAG